rfam:Picoides pubescens contig33793, whole genome shotgun sequence.
UAUAAAGCUCUUUUCAGAGCUACAUCUGGACUCAAUAAAUAAAAG